GCUAACGGAUCUAGUUAUGGGUCGAUGGGUAGUAGGAGGGGUUGGUGUUUGGGUGUUUGGGUUAGGGUGUUUCCUUGAGCGACCUAUGGUGGAAGACAAGAAAAAGUCAGACUCGUUAAAGGGAGCCUGAAACCUCAGUCAAGAAGACUUAAAUUGGGUUUUAACAGUCUCUUUUAUUCCAUCAGAUUUGCUGAAUAUAUACAAGUGCAGAAAUAACUACUCCCUACAUACAAGGAGCACUACUUCU
rnacentral:misc_RNA from 1 species